UGUAUCAUGUAUAAUAUGAUCUACAAUAUAUGAAUAAUCUAUAUAUUAACGUUACAUUAUGGGAUAAUAAUGAUUUAUAAUAAUGACAAAAGGAAAAAGAAUAUAUUUAAAAGAACAAAAUAUAAUAUAGGGAAUCUACAUUUGUUACUACCUUACAAAGAUAUCUGUCUUUCCCUUUAAGUUUCAUUCAUACGUCAUCUCGUAUAAUGGUUUUUUAAACGAACUCUCAACAAAUUCUUAAUAAUUUGAUUACGUUCUCAAUAAUUUGAACAUGUAAAAACCUAUCGAUUGGUAUAACUAAUGUCAUAUUGUUAGAUAUAUAAACUAUGAAUGUUUGUGGACUAUUUCAUAUAAACAUGCUCUUGUGAAGAUUGCCUUUGAUGUUAACAUCUAUGACUCAGUCAUAAAAGUGAUGUAUUAGCUGUUCGGUCGUAGUGUAGUAUAGUACACAGAAAACAAUGUCUACGUAACGUGUAUUAAAAUUAAACAGUAAUAAUAUUCUUCGAUUGUUUUCAUUAUCGUGAAUUAAAAAUUCUGUGUGAAUCGUUUCCUCUUUCCACAAAGUGUGAAAAGAAUUAAAACGAGCAGACAUCUUGGUUAAUCUCCGUAAUUCGUAGACAUCGCUUUAUUAAAAAAUCCUUAGGUUGAAUAGAUAAUUAAAAUAUUCGAAUAUUAAUAUACGAAUAAUAAUUUAAGACGAAUACGCCUCAAUGGAAACAAAGGAAAUGAAAAACCUGUUUUCUCGUUUCUUUCUUCUCUUCGGGGGUCUCGAUCGGAGUGAAGGAAAUUGAACAAAUGGACGUAAUUACGUUCGAAUACGCCGAAACAUCCCGCUCUGCAAAUUUGUUAAUUUUUUUUCGCAAGUUAUAUUAAAAAAUAAUGCCAUCAAGAAAAGGACGGUUGACAAGAACUAGGAAGAACAAAGGCAAUCCGUUGAUUCUAAAGAAUUACUGGAAAAAAAGAAAAGAAGAAGGUUUAACAUUUCGUAAAAAAGAAAUUGAAAAUAUACCCAGUACAUCGAACACACAAAUAGAAAAUGUACAGGAUCCAAGUACAGAAUCUGUAAAAGUAAUCGAAGAUAUUUAUGAUUCCUCUUCAUUGUCUCCUCUACACACGGAACGUGUAUCGAAUAUAAAUACUAACGAAGAUUCAUUUCAAUUGUCAGGUCGUCGAAUAGUUGAUAUUUCAUAUUUUAUGAAUAGUAUCCUUUCAAUAGGAACACAUGUACCUUUUUCUUGUACAAUAGCAGAUAUGUAUCCAAUUUCAGAAUCCCGGAACGGUUUUGUUAGUAUUAUAAAAUUGAAAUGUCGUAUAUGCGGUUUGAUUAAACAAAUUAAAACUGAUGAUACGUCGGAAAAAAAUGUGAAUAUUAACGCCAAUAUGGUUUCUGGAAUGAUAUCUAUAGGUAGUGGAUAUUCGCAAUUAAAAAAACUUUGUACAGCGAUAAAUAUGCCAAAUUUAGCAAAUAAUACGUGGGUAAAAUAUCGUGGUAUUAUAUUGGAAACUUCUCGUGAUACGACGUAAAGAUUAAUGUCUGAAAUUUGCAUAGGAAAUGGUAACGAUUGCUCAUCUUAAUGAAGAACUUAAUCAAAGUAGUAUUCCUUGUAUUACCGUAGUUGCAGAUCGUAAGACGGAUCAUGAGUAGGAUCAUGAAUCAAGAGAUUAUAUAGAUGUAUAAUUUGUUGACGAACGUCGCCACAAUCGGUCUGUUUUGUGAUCGAAAGAAUUUUAUAUAUUGGAGUAUACAAUAAAUAUUAUUCUUUUGUGAUCGACUAAACGUUUGUGAUCGUACACAAAUAACUUCUUGCGAUCAUUAAUGUUUAAAAAUUCUUUAAAAAUUUUAAUGGAUCGACAACUAAUAAAAUCAAACACAAUAAUAAAAUUCUCAUUGUAAUGUUGAAAUGCAUGGUUUAAAAUAUGUUAAAUUGAUCAGGAAUGAAUAUAGAAGCAUGCAUCGGAAGUUCAUAAAUGUAUUGCCUACACUUCACAAUUAGUAAAUUUAAAAAAUAGAUAUAUAUUUGUGACUAAAUCUAAUACAUUUGUGAAUUACUUUUACUUUUAGCAAUUAAAUAUUAUAACGAGUAGAAAGAUCAAUCUCUCUAUCGCAGUGUGAAAGAAUUGUUAAAAGAUAUUCCUAAUGAAUCGUACUAUGUUUUUCAUCAUCUUGCAAAAUGUGAAGAUAGCAAGUAUUAUAAUGAUAAAGUAAAACUUGAUAAGACGAGACGCGUAUCAUCAAUAUUUUUCACGAUAUUGAAUUAGAGAUACAUCGUAAUACUAUACCAAUUUGAUAUUGAAUAUAAAUAAUAAUGUAAUCUUAUUAUAUAUGUAGUAAAAUUUAUCUAUGGCAAAAGAGUUAAUUUUGCCUUGCAUGACAAAAUUAUCAAACUCGACGCAAAGAUGCGGCAUGAUUAAAUUAAUGAAAAAUUGUCUAGUAAAGGUAUGAGCAACUUUACUUUACAAUACAUAAAUAAAUAAAAUUGAGUUCGCGAUUCACGAAAAGAACAAAUCUUCAACGCCCCGUGAAUAAAUUUCAAUAUAAUAUUCGUACUGUUGAUGGCGAUUACGAACCAAAUACAGCUUAUGUUUAGGCAUUCGAAUUAUUCUAAGAAUCUAAUGUAUGUUCAAGAACAAUUUUUAGAUUAGUUGAAAAAUGAAGAGCGCUUGAAAAUCGAGCCUGAAAUUCAUAGACAAAUUACGUCGUUUGUUAAUAAAUUGAGCGACGUCGAAAACAACUAUAUAUAAUUGCUUCAAUGUUUGAAAUAAUAUGUAAAAAAGAGAUAGAGUACAUAAAAAUUAGUAGAAUUAAUGUGGUACCUUUAAGAAAGAUAAUACCAAAUGAUGAAUUGAAAAAAAAGAACAUUUGCAAUUAGAAAACUUUUUACUAACUACUCUAUAUAGAAGAUAAUGAUCUAAUAAUUGAUAAAAAUCAAUCGUUCUUUGCUGUUUUUUUUUGCGAUAUUAAUUGAAGUCGAUAUUCUCAUCAAAGUUUGUCCAGCUUCAAUGAAAAAUAAGACAUCAAUGGAGUUUUAUCAAUGUAAAAAGAUUAGUUUUAUGCGUCUCCAAAAUUAAAAAAUGCAGUGUUUUAUGAAUCGAUCAAAAAUAGUAGUACAGGAUGUUAUUUUAUUAGGAUACCAAAAGGAAAGGUUGUCGAUAACAUCGAAAGAAAACUUUUGGCCAACAAACAAUUAAAAAAGCUUAUACUUUCUUUGUAUUACAAGAGCUUUCUGCUCAAAAUUAUUGAUUCUCAAGAACCGUAAUCUUCUGAUUCAAAUAUCGACGCAUAUUUUUAAAAGCACGAUAUACUUCUAAUUUACUCUACGUUUUCAAAUAGUGAUAAGUCACUAUUGACUUUACUGUUAUAGUUUAAAAUGUACAUAAUGUAUAUAAUAAUGUUUUUAUUGUUGUUAUUAUUAUUAAUAGUAGCAGUAAUAAUAGUAGUAGUGACAUUAGUAGAGUGGACUAGUUCUACAGAGGUAGUUUAAAACUUACAUAAUGUACAUAAUAUUUAAGUAUGUUUUUAUUAUUGUUAUUAUUAUUAGCAGAAGCAGUAAUAAUGGUAAUAGUGACACUAGUAGAGUGGAGUAGUUCUACAGGGGAAACCACUUAAAAAAAAAAAGCGCUGGGAGUUCUACCUCAUAGGUAGUGUGGAAACGAACUCUUAUUUUAAUUUUUAUUAAAAUAAUAUAUGAUUUAUUAAUAAUCAUUAAUUAUUAUUUUUUUAUAAAAUAAUCGAUAAAAUUUUGUUUUUCUUUUUCGUGAAUUUGUAUAUUAGUUAUAUGUAUCAAUUAUAUUAGUUAUUAUUUAUAUGCGUUUGUCGUCAAUCAAAAUUUUACCAGUACUGUAUUUAGCACGGAUCACUGCGAGACGCACAUUAACAACAAAGAAUAUAAAUAUGUGAAACUAAACAAAUGUGAUGUUUACUAGUUGAAGACCAACUUAUACUAUACGAUUGUUACGUUACACGUCAAAUGAAUAUAGGUUGAUACAGGAUAUGUCCCAUUUUUAAUUUUUAUAUAUUCAUAAGUGAUUUAUUUUGUUUUAUUGAAAAUGUAUAUACUGUUAAUUAUCAA